rnacentral:rRNA from 1 species
GUACACUCCUACGGGAGGCAGCAGUGGGGAAUUUUGGACAAUGGGCGAAAGCCUGAUCCAGCCAUGCCGCGUGCAGGAUGAAGGCCUUCGGGUUGUAAACUGCUUUUGUACGGAACGAAACGGCCUUUUCUAAUAAAGAGGGCUAAUGACGGUACCGUAAGAAUAAGCACCGGCUAACUACGUGCCAGCAGCCGCGGUAAUACGUAGGGUGCAAGCGUUAAUCGGAAUUACUGGGCGUAAAGCGUGCGCAGGCGGUUAUGUAAGACAGUUGUGAAAUCCCCGGGCUCAACCUGGGAACUGCAUCUGUGACUGCAUAGCUAGAGUACGGUAGAGGGGGAUGGAAUUCCGCGUGUAGCAGUGAAAUGCGUAGAUAUGCGGAGGAACACCGAUGGCGAAGGCAAUCCCCUGGACCUGUACUGACGCUCAUGCACGAAAGCGUGGGGAGCAAACAGGAUUAGAUACCCUUGUAGUCCCA